GGCGUCAUGGUGCAGUGGUAGCACGUCUGACUCCAGAUCUGAAGGUUGUGUGUUCAAAUCACAUUGAGGUUA